GAUGAACGCUGGCGGCGUGCCUAAUACAUGCCAGUCGAGCGAACAGACGAGGAGCUUGCUCCUCUGACGUUAGCGGCGGACGGGUGAGUAACACGUGUAUAACCUACCUAUAAGACUGGGAUCACUUCGGGAAACCGGAGCUAAUACCGGAUAAUAUAUUGAACCGCAUGGUUCAAUAGUGAAAGACGGUUUUGCUGUCACUUAUAGAUGGAUCCGCGCCGCAUUAGCUAGUUGGUAAGGUAACGGCUUACCAAGGCAACGAUGCGUAGCCGACCUGAGAGGGUGAUCGGCCACACUGGAACUGAGACACGGUCCAGACUCCUACGGGAGGCAGCAGUAGGGAAUCUUCCGCAAUGGGCGAAAGCCUGACGGAGCAACGCCGCGUGAGUGAUGAAGGUCUUCGGAUCGUAAAACUCUGUUAGUAGGGAAGAACAAAUGUGUAAGUAACUAUGCACGUCUUGACGGUACCUAAUCAGAAAGCCACGGCUAACUACGUG
rnacentral:rRNA from 1 species